GUUUAAAUUCAGCCUUUUAAAGACACAUAGGUGCUGCAUUUCUAUUGGAAGGUAAGAAUAUAUAAAGUUGCUUUCAGCACUGAUAAACACUGAUAAACUUCCAUAACUCAUUAUUAAAAAAAAAAUUAGGCAUGUGUUUAUUGGUGUGCUGGAUAGUAUUUCUUUGAUGUAUUUGUUUCUCCCUUGCCUCUCAAAUAUAGAUCUCUCUAGCUAACUUUACUGGAUCUAUCAGAAGAAGAAGAGGAGUGAAGGAAAGACACCCAGCCACACAAAAGAACUUCAUGAUGCCAACAGCGUGAUUGCUUAGAAGUUCCUACACAAAAAAAGGAUCAUUUGAAAGCACCUGGAAUGGUUUAUUAGCUUCACAGGAUUUUAUUCUUCUUGGCUUCUAUUUGGAGGGAAAAUAACAUAAAUUCAAAAGGAUUCCAAUCUGAAGCCCAAAUCGUUUGCCUACAUAACAAAAAUAUCUCAUCUUUUCCUGCACAUUAUUAUUCUUUUAUGGGUUAAAAAGAAAAAUACCUUUUAGUGUUUUAGAACUCUCUCAUGGUAAAAAGUGCAAGAAUUUAAAAUGUUGCUUUCAUAUUCCUAUAAUUCUCCAAAAGUAUUAAAUUCGUAUAUGUUUGAGUGAUUUUCUAAAAACUGCUCAACCUGAAAUCAAUUGCAUUGACCAUUUGGCUUCGCACAAUAGGGAGAAAAUAAUUGGUUCAUUGAUUAUAUAGAGAGAAAGACUAAGAAAAGCUAUUAAUUGCUACCAAUUUUAUGAUAAGCUUUAAGGUUUAUGAAAGUAUGUUUUUUUAUUUAAUGAGUAAUGUCCAUUUGAAGUUGAAAGAAAACAUGAAAUCCUAAUUGUAGUUCAUUUUAUGUUCAAAUGAAACCAUUGUUUUUGUUUUUGUUUUGAAACAGAGUCUCACUCUGUUGCCCAAGGUGGAGAGAAGUGGCACGCUUUUGUCUCACUGCAACCUCCACCUCCCGAGUUCAAGUGAUUCUCGUGCCUCAACCUCCCAAUUAUAGGCUGGGAUUACAGGUGUGCACCACUACACCCAGCUAAUUCUUGUAUUUUUUGUAGAGAUGAGGUUUUACCCUGUUGCCCAGGCUGGUCUUGAACUCAGGCUGGAACCAUUCAUUUUUUAACCUUUCUCAUCAUGUAAUUAUAGGAACCCAACGUUUGAUUUCCUUUGAAGUUUUGUUAUGUCCUUUAUUAUUUUGUAUGGAUAAUUUCUUUAAAAGUCUUACUUAAAGUUGACAUCUAAAAUACAGUUAUGCCAAUGAAGUCCCACUCAGGGUGAUAUCUGUAUCUAAAAGAUGAGUGCUCAUCAUCCUAUUAGGCUUUGUCUUGGUGGUGUUCAUCCUGAGAUGCUGAGACAUGGAAAUAAAAAAUCAGAAGGAAUUUAGGGAUAUGAUUACUCAAAAAAGAAACUAUCCUGUCUAAAUUUGAAUUGUGUUGAUAACUAGGUGUUCCCCAGAUGCUAAGAUGUUCUUAAUUUGUAUUUAUUGAAGGAUUGUUAGCUUAGUGCCACAAAAUUUUUCUUACUUUAUGUUAAUUCCAGAUAAGAAAUUUACAAGUUUAUAUCUUUUUUUUUCUUUUUUUUAAGAUGAGAUCUGGCUCUAUCACCCAGGCUAAAGUGCAGUGGCAUGAUCUAGGCUAACUCCCUGGCUCAAGCGAUCCUUCCACCUCAGCCUCCCAAGUACCUGGGACUACAGGCACUCACGGCCACACCUGACUAAUUUUUGUAUUUUUUUGUAGAGAUGGAGUAUCGCCAUGUUGCCCAGGUUGGUCUCAAACUCAGGCUGGUGAGCUCAAGUGAUCCGCCUCCUUGGCCUCCCAAAAUACUGGGAUUACAGGCAUGUGCCACCAUGCUGGGCCACAAGUUCAUAUCUGGAGUAGAAGUUUUACUUUGUAAAUAUUAUAAAGUAGAAGAAACCAUAAACCAUUUUGCUAAAAUGAAAGGUUGGGGUUAAUAUAAAUGUAAUUUUAAAUAGAAAAUCUGACAACACUGUCGAGUUUGUCUUCCUGUCAAAGCUUAUUAAAAGUGUCUUUGCGGAUGAAUGGUACUUUCCACAAGUGCAUUUGAGUAGAAGCAUAACCUAUUCUCAGUUAUAUUUAUGUUUAAAACAUGUACUGGUUUGUAUAUUUUGUACUGAAAAAGAAAACACUUUAUAGUCAAGAUACAUCUCAUUCAAUACAAGUCUAAACUCUUUCAAAUACAAAUUCGCAUAUUCACAGAAAAAGUUACAAAUCAGUUUUACUAUUGUAAAGUAAUGAAAUGGUUAUACAUUUCUUAAUUGUUCAAUAAAACACUCA
rnacentral:lncRNA from 1 species